GCCUUCGUUCCUUCCAUCUGCUAUGUAAGUAGUAUAACUCUGCAUCGUAUUGGAUGCGUUUGUGAUGAUUUGAGGAGUGGAUUUCGUUCUUUUAUGGGGAAAUCUCAAAUAGGUUUUGCUUAUUUUCUGAUGAUUGUGCUUCUGGCUUGGAAUUUCUGGGGAGAAGGCAUUUGAAGGCAGCAGAAGAAGUGAAAGGGUUCGAGCUGCCAUUUCAGAAAUGCUAUGAAUUGGAGAAUGGAGAAUCUUGAAAAUAUUUCUAUCAGAGAGUUUGAUGAGAGAGAGAGAGAGAGAGAGAGAGAGAGAGAGAGAGAGACAGAGAGAGAGAGAGAGAGAGAGAGAGAGAGAGAUGAGAUGGGGUUGCUGUUUUGCAUUUUCUUUCUCCUGGUUGAGCAUGUGCUUGGGCGGACGGUGUAUACCCAUGGUUUGAGUUUUGUUUGCUUUCAGAAAAAGAAUUUGGCAUUUUGAGUUUUGUUUGCUUUGAGAAAAAUAAUUUGGCAUUUUGGGUUUUGUUUUGGGGAGGAUUUUGAGGGUGCUUGUAUAAUAAAGGUGGGAUUUUUGUGAUACUGUGGAGUGGGAUUUCAAUUUUCUGCAUCUGGGUUUUGUUCUUUUGGGGAUCUUGAAUGGAACGUAAGUUUUACUUCCAUUGUUCUGUUUCUUAUUUUCUUUCUCCUGGUUGAACAUGUACUCGUGCGGAUGGCAUGUGUCCUUGCUUUGUUUGGUUGUGACUUGUGCUAGCUUGAAGCUAUUUCAGGGUAUGUUUUUUUUUUUUUUCCAUUAGCUUGUUAGUACACCCCACUGUCAAUUCACACAUCACUGUUAGCCACCCCCAUUAGGGAAUCGAUACCAAGACCUCAGUGUUGAAACGAGGUAUCUUUCACUCAGUCUACCACUUGAGCUAUGGAUCAGGUUGUGUGGAUGCAAUGUGGAAUUGAAUUAUAAUAUUCUAGUUACUCAAUUAGAGUAGAAGCAUGGAAGUGAUUGAAUCAUAAUUACCUCCCUUUGCAUCAUAUUGAGAGAUUGACCUCCGAAUCACAACGAAAUUCCUUUCAAACUGGAAGGAAUUUAAACCGCAAUUUGUGUGCUAGCUCCUCAUUAUGAAUUCUAAGAACCAUCAUCAUUUUUCGUUGCUUCCUCUUGGUAAAAAUAAAUUUUCGCAAUUCAGUUUAGAUAGGUGUCCAUUGCAGCCCAUGGCAUAGAGGAAUUGAAAUACAAGAUGUGGAAAUCAAACAAAGCAGACACCCUAGUCUGAAUGAAGCCUCUAUAAGGGAGAGAACUCCAUUUUGUACGCCUCCAGCAUGGAGAGAACUCAUUUUUGUAACUUAUAGUGAAUAUCAUUGAGCCUGUGUCUGUUAUUAAUAGUGAAUACAGAGCAGUUGUGUCCUAUUAAGCUGUCCAACUUAUAGCUGCCAAGUGAUUUAUACAAUAGAAUUUAGUAACUAUGAGUUGAGCAUUUGAUUAGGUUGAGGGCUCUUGUUAUUUGCAGGCAAUCUUUAGACCUCUCUAACAACCUCAUUCAUGAUAAUCGGAGGUUGAGACCUGUGUUAAGCUAUUUUGCGCUUGUGUAAGUACAGUAUGACAUGAACAUGCUGCUGGGUUCAGAAAAAUAACCCUUCACUCCAGGACUAUGUUAUCUUGUUUUAUUUGUUAUACCUAAGUAUUCGCUGGCAGCUCACAUGCUUAUUGUUAACAUCUAGCUCAAUUGCGUAUCGUGCUUCUCCUUUGUCUUUUGACCUGUGUAUCCUAUAUUCUUCUUUACCAGAUUAACUCAAGUUCCUUCUUUUCGGUGGUACCUUUUCCAGUUAAGAAUGUAUCAGACAGUUUAACAGGGAUUGAGAGCAAUACAGCAGCUAUUCAGCAAAUGCAAAGAGCACUACUAGCAGCAUUUGAUGAAAGAUUUGAUGGGGAGGUAUCAUCAUCAACUCUAUUUUAGAUUUGGAGCAGUCACAGGCCUCUGAGACCCUCGACAUGAUUUUGAAGGGGGCAGGCGGCACGGCAUUAGCUUUUUGCAAUACGUAGGAAACUGACCCGGUUGGCCCUGCCCCAAUGGAGCUUUGGAAUCUGCAGGCAGCACGGUUCCGAAAUGGAUCCUGCGGUUUGUUUCAGACCCUUGCACAGUUCCUGUUCUCAGGUGCCCGAAUCAUUGGAUGGAGAAAGCAUUGCAUUUUCAACCACAAAAGCUGGGAGUCUAAAACUGAAUUCCAUGAAUUCAUUAAAUAUUCAAACUUCAGCAGUCAAAGGAACAACACAGAAAGAGGGCGUUGAGAAAGGAAUGCUUGCAGCCAACUGAUACUUCUGAAAGGAAUGCCUGCAGCAGUGAUGGAAGAGAUCUGCCUGAGUGCUUGACUGAGGAAGAACUUCAAACAACACCAAAGAUGUUGCAUUUAAGUUAAUACAUGUAUUUACUUUUGUGGAUUUUCUGUUGAUGUUGCAUUUAAGACAGUUUGAAUUGCUGUUAUGUACUGUUUAAGCAUAGUAUGAUGACUGUUUGAGAUGUGUAUCAA